ensembl:lncRNA
GCUCAUCUUCCGUUGAUGUAGUUGGCAACUACGGUCGUACUGACAUUUACAGCAAUAAGCUAAUAAUUAUUUCAUAUUAUAUACAACUCUUGGUUUUGUUUGUUAUUGCUGCGACCGUCAACGGCUGUCAUCCCAUCCUGGCCAAAAGAGGACGAAGGUUAAGGUUACUGACUGCAAGUCAUCGGCCUACAACUUAGAGGUUUUGUUUGUUAUUGCUACGACCUUCAACGACUGCUGUCAUCCCAUCCUGGCCAAAAGAGGACGAAGGUUAAGGUUACUGACUGCAAGUCAUCGGCCUACAACUUAGAGGUUUUGUUUGUUAUUGCUACGACCUUCAACGACUGCUGUCAUCCCAUCCUGGCCAAAAGAGGACGAAGAGAAUGGAUCGGGAAGACGUGAAGGAAGAAAUUGCUUCAUUUUUACCGGGCCUCUCUCUUGAAACCCUGACUUCCCUGCUGGGAGUGUUGGAAGAGAUUGGCGUGGAGAGCAGAGCAGACCUUGC